GGCCUACCAUGGUGGUAACGGGUAACGGGGUGUUAGGGCACGACACCGGAGAGGGAGCCUGAGAAACGGCUACCACAUCCAAGGAUGGCAGCAGGCGCGCAAAUUACCCAAUCCCGACACGGGGAGGUAGUGACAAUAAAUAACAAUACGGGGUUCUUUAGGAUCUCGUAAUUGGAAUGAGUACAAUUUAAAUCUCUUAACGAGGAACAAUUGGAGGGCAAGUCUGGUGCCAGCAGCCGCGGUAAUUCCAGCUCCAAUAGCGUAUAUUAAAGUUGUUGCAGUUAAAAAGCUCGUAGUUGAAUUUCGAGACCGGCUUACUGGUCGUGCUAUUGUACGUACUGGUAUAAUCGGUUUCUCCUUUCUGACGAACUAUAAUGCCAUUAAUUUGGUGUUUUAGGGAAUCAGGACUGUUACUUUGAAAAAAUUAGAGUGUUUAAAGCAGGCUCACGCUUGAAUACAUUAGCAUGGAAUAACGGAAUAGGACGUUUGAUUCUAUUUUGUUGGUUUCUAGGAUCGACGUAAUGAUUAAUAGGGAUAGUUGGGGGCAUUAGUAUUCAAUUGUCAGAGGUGAAAUUCUUGGAUUUAUUGAAGACUAACUACUGCGAAAGCAUUUGCCAAGGAUGUUUUCAUUAAUCAAGAACGAAAGUUAGGGGAUCGAAGACGAUCAGAUACCGUCGUAGUCUUAACCAUAAACUAUGCCGACUAGGGAUCGGAUGAUGUUAAUUUUUUAAUGACUCAUUCGGCGCCUUACG
rnacentral:rRNA from 1 species